GACCGAGCUUCUACAGUAAGCGGUUUCCUUUCAGCCUUUUACAAGAAUCAGACUUCGACUGAACUUCCAUAGCGGAUGGAUAUCGGGCGAACUUCUACGACGGAUGGACUCCGACAGCUAGAUUCCUACAACAACCAAUCGCCUCCGAUGUCUGCUGAACCUCCCCAACGCCAUCCGAAGUCCACCACCGGUCGACCCUCCACUAGAUCCUUCAUAAAAUCGGACUUCUCCAAUGG
rnacentral:lncRNA from 1 species